rnacentral:rRNA from 1 species
UAGGGAAUCUUCGGCAAUGGGGGGAACCCUGACCGAGCAACGCCGCGUGAGUGAAGAAGGUUUUCGGAUCGUAAAGCUCUGUUGUUAAGGAAGAACGUGUGUGAGAGUGGAAAGUUCACACAGUGACGGUACUUAACCAGAAAGGGACGGCUAACUACGUGCCAGCAGCCGCGGUAAUACGUAGGUCCCGAGCGUUGUCCGGAUUUAUUGGGCGUAAAGCGAGCGCAGGCGGUUAGAUAAGUCUGAAGUGAAAGGCAGUGGCUCAACCAUUGUAGGCUUUGGAAACUGUUUAACUUGAGUGCAGAAGGGGAGAGUGGAAUUCCAUGUGUAGCGGUGAAAUGCGUAGAUAUAUGGAGGAACACCGGUGGCGAAAGCGGCUCUCUGGCUUGUAACUGACGCUGAGGCUCGAAAGCGUGGGGAGCAAACAGGAUUAGAUACCCUGGUAGUCCACGCCGUAAACGAUGAGUGCUAGGUGUUAGACCCUUUCCGGGGUUUAGUGCCGUAGCUAACGCAUUAAGCACUCCGCCUGGGGAGUACGACCGCAAGGUUG